rnacentral:rRNA from 1 species
AUUGAACGCUGGCGGCAUGCUUUACACAUGCAAGUCGAACGGUAACAGGCCUUCGGGUGCUGACGAGUGGCGACCGGGUGCGUAAUGCAUCGGAACGUACCCAGAGGUGGGGGUUAACGCAGCGAAAGCUGUGCUAAUACCGCAUGUGAUCUGAGGAUGAAAGCGGGGGACCGCGCAGCAAUGUUUGGCCUCGCGCCUUUGGAGCGGCCGAUGUCGGAUUAGCUAGUUGGUGGGGUAAAGGCCUACCAAGGCGACGAUCCGUAGCUGGUCUGAGAGGACGACCAGCCACACUGGGACUGAGACACGGCCCAGACUCCUACGGGAGGCAGCAGUGGGGAAUUUUGGACAAUGGGCGCAAGCCUGAUCCAGCAAUGCCGCGUGCGGGAAGAAGGCCUUCGGGUUGUAAACCGCUUUUGGCAGGAACGAAACGGUGUCCGCUAAUACCGGGCGCUAAUGACGGUACCUGCAGAAUAAGCACCGGCUAACUACGUG